CCUACGGGAGGCAGCAGUGAGGAAUAUUGGUCAAUGGGCGGAAGCCUGAACCAGCCAAGUAGCGUGCAGGAUGACGGCCCUACGGGUUGUAAACUGCUUUUAUACGGGAAUAACGCGCCUUACGUGAAGGGCUUUGCAUGUAUCGUAUCAAUAAGGACCGGCUAAGACUGGGUCAGCAGCCGCGGUAAUACGGAAGGUCCGGGCGUUAUCCGGAUUUAUUGGGGUUAAAGGGAGCGUAGGCCGCAUGUCAAGCGUGCUGUGAAAUGUUCGGGCUCAACCCGGGCCUUGCAGCGGAAACUGGCGUGCUUGAGUCCGCGGAAGGAAGGCGGAAUUCGUGGUGUAGCGGUGAAAUGCUUAGAUAUGACGAAGAACCCCGAUUGCGAAGGCAGGUUGCUGCAGCGGAACUGACGCUGAUGCUCGAAAGCGCGGGUAUCGAACAGGAUUAGAUACCCCAGUAGUC
rnacentral:rRNA from 1 species